rnacentral:rRNA from 1 species
GCACCUUAACUUAGCGGCGGACGGGUGAGUAAUGCUUAGGAAUCUGCCUAUUAGUGGGGGACAACAUUCCGAAAGGGAUGCUAAUACCGCAUACGCCCUACGGGGGAAAGCAGGGGAUCUUCGGACCUUGCGCUAAUAGAUGAGCCUAAGUCGGAUUAGCUAGUUGGUGGGGUAAAGGCCUACCAAGGCGACGAUCUGUAGCGGGUCUGAGAGGAUGAUCCGCCACACUGGGACUGAGACACGGCCCAGACUCCUACGGGAGGCAGCAGUGGGGAAUAUUGGACAAUGGGGGGAACCCUGAUCCAGCCAUGCCGCGUGUGUGAAGAAGGCCUUUUGGUUGUAAAGCACUUUAAGCGAGGAGGAGGCGCUCUAGGAUAAUACCCUAGAUGCGUGGACGUUACUCGCAGAAUAAGCACCGGCUAACUCUGUGCCAGCAGCCGCGGUAAUACAAAGGGUGCGAGCGUUAAUCGGAUUUACUGGGCGUAAAGCGCGCGUAGGUGGCUAAUUAAGUCAAAUGUGAAAUCCCCGAGCUUAACUUGGGAAUUGCAUUCCAUACUGGUUAGCUAGAGUAUGGGAGAGGAUGGUAGAAU